GAUGAACGCUAGCGGGAGGCCUAACACAUGCAAGCCGAGCGGGAUUGUUUCUUUGGAAAUGAGAGAGCGGCGUACGGGUGCGGAACACGUGUGCAACCUGCCUUUAUCUGGGGGAUAGCCUUUCGAAAGGAAGAUUAAUACUCCAUAACAUAUUGAUUGGCAUCAAUUAAUAUUGAAAGCUCCGGCGGAUAGAGAUGGGCACGCGUAAGAUUAGCUAGUUGGUGAGGUAACGGCUCACCAAGGCGAUGAUCUUUAGGGGGCCUGAGAGGGUGAUCCCCCGAACUGGUACUGAGACACGGACCAGACUCCUACGGGAGGCAGCAGUGAGGAAUAUUGGUCAAUGGGUGCAAGCCUGAACCAGCCAUCCCGCGUGAAGGACGACUGCCCUAUGGGUUGUAAACUUCUUUUGUAUAGGGAUAAACCUACCCUCGUGAGGGUAGCUGAAGGUACUAUACGAAUAAGCACCGGCUAACUCCGUGCCAGCCGCCGCCGUAACAC
rnacentral:rRNA from 1 species